AAUUAAGUUGGCAAUUAUCUAAAAGAAGUGGUCCACGAUGCCCGGUAGUGGUGCGGUAUCCGUCUUGAAAAGUUUUUAUUUUGAUCCAUUUAAAUGGCAAUUAAUUAAAAGUUGGACAAUGUUUGCUGCUGGAGUUUACUUAGCUAGAGAAUUAUCUGGAAUUGAUUUCACAAAUCCAGCUCCACCACCAAUGUGAAUAGAUCAAGAGUUUGGUGAAUGUACAACUUAAGAGAAGUGAAAUAAAUGAAGAUAUUGCAGUCAGAAGAUAAGUCUGUUAAAAAUGUAAAGUGUUAAGAAAAUAAAUAAAUUAUAAAUGUA